AAACAUUGAUAGUCAAUACACCCACUAUCCGCCAGGGAACUACGAGCAUNAGCUUAAAACCCAAAGGACUUGGCGGUGCUUAAGAUCCACCUAGAGGAGCCUGUUCUAGAACCGAUUACCCCCGUUCAACCUCACCCUCCCUUGUUUUUCCCGCCUAUAUACCGCCGUCGUCAGCUUACCCCGUGAAGGCCCAAAUAGUAAGCAAACUGGUUUAACCCAAAACGUCAGGUCGAGGUGUAGCGCAUGAGAGGGGAAGAAAUGGGCUACAUUUACUACUUAGUAAACACGAAUAAUGUGCUGAAAUGUACACUUGAAGGAGGAUUUAGCAGUAAGUGGAAAAUAGAGCGUUCC
rnacentral:rRNA from 1 species